rnacentral:tRNA from 1 species
GCCCGUGUGGCUCAGCUGCUUAAGCGUCUGACUUUGGCUCAGGUCAUGAUCUCACAGUUUGUGAGUUCAAGCCCCACAUCGGGCU